AUUGAACGCUGGCGGCAUGCCUUACACAUGCAAGUCGAACGGUAACAGGUCUUCGGAUGCUGACGAGUGGCGAACGGGUGAGUAAUACAUCGGAACGUGCCCGAUCGUGGGGGAUAACGAAGCGAAAGCUUUGCUAAUACCGCAUACGAUCUACGGAUGAAAGCAGGGGACCGCAAGGCCUUGCGCGAACGGAGCGGCCGAUGGCAGAUUAGGUAGUUGGUGGGAUAAAAGCUUACCAAGCCGACGAUCUGUAGCUGGUCUGAGAGGAUGACCAGCCACACUGGGACUGAGACACGGCCCAGACUCCUACGGGAGGCAGCAGUGGGGAAUUUUGGACAAAGGGCGAAAGCCUGAUCCAGCCAUGCCGCGUGCAGGAUGAAGGCCUUCGGGUUGUAAACUGCUUUUGUACGGAACGAAAAGACUCUGGUUAAUACCUGGGGUCCAUGACGGUACCGUAAGAAUAAGCACCGGCUAACUACGUG
rnacentral:rRNA from 1 species